CCACCAGUCCCUUCCCAGCCACCUGAAAACACUUAUCUGGAGCCUAUUAUAUGGCAUAACUAGUCCUGGUGAUGGAAUCACCAUCUGCCAUCAUUACUGUGCUGUUCUGCCCCUCCUAGGGACAGAGCCCCAGACUGACUGCCAUCACCCUUCCCCUGAGAGAAAUGAGAGAAAUCCAUAAAGAGAGCAAAAACAGCGCUUCUCCUCUUCAACCCCAUCUCAAGGAUGUAAUUAAGGGCUCUGAGACGGAGGACCUGUGUUCCAGGGCAGGAACAGAGACACCAACUUAGAGAGCAGACUCGCAGCAUCUUUCUUAGUGGAGGCGUGCCAACUGUUAGUUGUGGCUUGUGGGGUCUACUUCCCUGACCAGGGAUUGCACCUGGGCCUUCUGGACUGGGAACUUGGAGUCUUAGCCACUGGACCACCAGAGAAGUUCCUCUGAAGAAAUUUUAGGAAAGAAUUAGGCAGGACCAACAGGGAAAGCACUUGCAUCAGGCUCUUGGAAGUUCUAAAGAAGAGAUGGACACCAGUGAUUCUCAUGGACGCUAAGUGGGGGUGUUGGGCAGCUCCAGGAACCCUCUGGACAGUUGCACAGUUGCUUUGGGUUCCUCUAACUCAGCCAGAGCUCAGAAGCACAUCCUUCCCUCCUGGGGACCUGCUUUCCUCUGGAUCACCUGUCAUUUAUCCCGCCCCAGGAGCAGGCUCUGAUUGAAUAGGCUUGCCAAUACGCAGCACACAGCUUUUCUGCAGGGCACACACUUGUUUGGCCUUUUCAGUGUCUGCCAUACUCUUUGGCUUGAGAAUCAUCACUCUAGGAAUACAAAUAGAGAGUUGGGAGUCUGGCAGGUGGUUGGAACCAGGAGGAGGAAAUAGUAUGAACAGAGGCACAGAUUGCUGCACGGAGCAUGUCUGGGGAACAGCAAACAGUUCACAUUGGCUGAAGAAGUGUAUCUCAGCUAUGGGGUCUGUGAACUUCUAAGGGGCCAUGAAGAUGUUAUCAGGGCAGCUGAGUUCUCUUUAUGUAUUAUUAUAAUUUUAGUUUUAUUUUAAUAACAACCCUAAAAUACGGAAGACACACACAUUUGGGGCCAUCAGUGUGGCCAUUUUCAAUAUAAUAUACACUGAGAAGAUUAUAUUUAUGGUGUGGUGAGUUUAAUUAGAACAUCAUGACUGGACUUGCCAAACUGGUGUUAUUUGAAUUUUAUUUGUCUUGUAAGCUUAGUUGUAUCUCAUUCAUAAAUAAUUUUUUGAUGUGUGGCUGUUUAAGAGCCAUGAGUAUAAGAAGGUUUUUUGUUUUACCAAGUUUUUGUUAUUACGAUAAUAUUGUGAAUGAAAUGUUUAAUUCAACACUUUGUAUCUGAAAGAAUAUGUCUCC
ensembl:lncRNA